CCCUUAGAUGUUCUGGGCUGCACGCGCGCCACACUGUCGGAUUCAGCGAGUCAUAUCCUUAACCGAAAGGUUUGGGUAAUCUUUUGAAAGUCCGACGUGAUGGGGAUUGAUCAUUGCAAUUAUUGAUCAUGAACGAGGAAUUCCUAGUAAGCGCGAGUCAUCAGCUCGCGUUGAUUACGUCCCUGCCCUUUGUACACACCGCCCGUCGCUACUACCGAUUGAAUGGUUUAGUGAGAUCUUCGGAUUGGCGCCUACGCGGCUUCUCUGAGGCCACGCUGGAUGCCGAAAAGUUGCUCAAACUGUAUCAUUUAGAGGAAGUAAAAGUCGUAACA
rnacentral:rRNA from 1 species